CCAUUCCUUUAUCCUCCGUGUACCAGACCAUCACCGCCGACCUCUCUGUCUCCUUCUCUUUCAAGUUGUCAAGUACCUCCAUCACCAUCUUUUCCAAGAUGUCUUCUUUGUACUCAUUUUAAGCUAACCCUAGAUAGCUAUUAUUUGAGGAAAAAUAGGCUGACUAAUUUUGCCUCCAAGAACUGCUAGAAUGACAACUGAAGGUCUGAAUUUCAAGCUCUCUACAGCAUUCAUUAGACAAUAGGGUGGCUGUGUACAGAAGACAUGCAUCAGUGGUACCUGGGAUACUGCAUUACAAACCAAAGGUGAGGAGAAAAAGAUUGCGAGACAACCUGUUGGUUGUGCCUAAACCCGGUCACAUACCGGCGGUAAAUGGCGUUCUAGAUGGGCAGGCGCGUUCAUGGUACGAACAAUAUUCCCUCAUGGAUCUAUAGAACUCGAAGACGUAGCAACUAAGAACGUCUUCAAGGUCAAUGGGCAGAGACUGAAGCCGUUCCUUGAACCAAUUCCAUCCGAAAUUGAAACAACUGAUCUUGCAGAUCCCAUCUAUGUGGACUUAAGUGGUUCACCCUUGUACAUACCAGGUUUAGAAUUCCAUUUUAUGUCUUUUGCUUUCUUUCGGUUUCAGUUUGAUAUCCUAGUUUUUGCUGCAUAAUCUCUGUUUUUUGUGAUAUCUACCUUGCUGCUCAACUAUUUUGUUUGGCAACACUUUUUGGAUCUGGUACUCUCUAACCUUUCAUGAACUUCAUGAACUUCAUGGCAUGUUAUAAUUUGUGAAUCCUUAGAAACAUUAAGGACACUGUUUAACAUAGGUUUGGGGGUACAAGUAGAUAUCACGUGAAUUUUGUAGCGUUUUGGUAUGUUUGAAUCUUGUGAAUAGAUAACAUAUUAAAAAAAAAUGAAUGAAAAAUGAAAAACGGAGCUCAUUUACCUUGAUCUGUGAUACCUGUGCAUGAUAUAAUAUCUAGAUGAUGAAGCACCCCUGAUUCUAGCACAAUUCACAUGUGAUUUAGAAACUUUGCACAUGCACGAUCAACCAAGUGUGUAUAGCGUCGGUGUUUCAUAGGUUAAGUAGGCUGCCAAUCAUCUAGAA